GAUGAAGAACGCAGCGAAAUGCGAUACGUAAUGUGAAUUGCAGAAUUCAGUGAAUCAUCGAAUCUUUGAACGCAUAUUGCGCUCUCUGGUAUUCCGGAGAGCAUGCUUGUUUGAGUAUCAGUAAACACCUCAACUCCCUUUUCUUUUUUGAAAUUGGAGCUGGACUUGAGUGAUCCCAACGCUUUCUUCCAACAAAGUGGCGGGUUGCUUGAAAUGCAGGUGCAGCUGAACUUUUCUCUGAGCUAUAAGCAUAUCUAUUUAGUCUGCCUAAAAAACAGAUUAUUACCUUUGCUGCAGCUAACAUAAAGGAGACUAGUUCUUGUGCUGACUGAUGCAGGAUUCACAGAGACAGCUUCGGCUGACUUUGUAAACUCGAUCUCAAAUCAAGUAAGACUACCCGCUGAACUUAAGCAUAUCAAUAAGCGGAGGA
rnacentral:misc_RNA from 1 species